GACGAACGCUGGCGGCGUGCUUAACACAUGCAAGUCGAACGGAAAGGCCCUGCUUUUGUGGGGUGCCCGAGUGGCGAACGGGUGAGUAACACGUGAGUAACCUGCCCUUGACUUUGGGAUAACUUCAGGAAACUGGGGCUAAUACCGGAUAGGAGCUCCUGCUGCAUGGUGGGGGUUGGAAAGUUUCGGCGGUUGGGGAUGGACUCGCGGCUUAUCAGCUUGUUGGUGGGGUAGUGGCUUACCAAGGCUUUGACGGGUAGCCGGCCUGAGAGGGUGACCGGCCACAUUGGGACUGAGAUACAGCCCACACUCCUACGGGAGGCAGCAGUGGGGAAUAUUGCACAAUGGGCGGAAGCCUGAUGCAGCAACGCCGCGUGCGGGAUGACGGCCUUCGGGUUGUAAACCGCUUUCGCCUGUGACGAAACGAGAGUGACGGUAAUGGGUAAAGAAGCUCCGGCUAAGUACGUGCCAGCAGCCACAGUGAUACUUAAGGUGCGAGCGUUGUCCGGAUUUAUUGGGCGUAAAGGGCUCGUAGGUGGUUGAUCGCGUCGGAAGUGUAAUCUUGGGGCUUAACCCUGAGCGUGCUUUCGAUACGGGUUGACUUGAGGAAGGUAGGGGAGAAUGGAAUUCCUGGUGGAGCGGUGGAAUGCGCAGAUAUCAGGAGGAACACCAGUGGCGAAGGCGGUUCUCUGGGCCUUUCCUGACGCUGAGGAGCGAAAGCGUGGGGAGCGAACAGGCUUAGAUACCCUGGUAGUCCACGCUGUAAACGGUGGGUACUAGGUGUGGGGUCCAUUCCACGGGUUCCGUGCCGUAGCUAACGCUUUAAGUACCCCGCCUGGGGAGUACGGCCGCAAGGCUAAAACUCAAAGGAAUUGACGGGGCCCCGCACAAGCGGCGGAGCAUGCGGAUUAAUUCGAUGCAACGCGUAGAACCUUACCUGGGUUUGACAUGGAUCGGGAGUGCUCAGAGAUGGGUGUGCCUCUUUUGGGGUCGGUUCACAGGUGGUGCAUGGCUGUCGUCAGCUCGUGUCGUGAGAUGUUGGGUUAAGUCCCGCAACGAGCGCAACCCUUGUUCACUGUUGCCAGCACGUUAUGGUGGGGACUCAGUGGAGACCGCCGGGGUCAACUCGGAGGAAGGUGGGGAUGACGUCAAGUCAUCAUGCCCCUUAUGUCCAGGGCUUCACGCAUGCUACAAUGGCUGGUACAGAGAGUGGCGAGCCUGUGAGGGUGAGCGAAUCUCGGAAAGCCGGUCUCAGUUCGGAUUGGGGUCUGCAACUCGACCUCAUGAAGUCGGAGUCGCUAGUAAUCGCAGAUCAGCAACGCUGCGGUGAAUACGUUCCCGGGGCU
rnacentral:rRNA from 1 species